rnacentral:rRNA from 1 species
GGAAUAUUGCACAAUGGGCGAAAGCCUGAUGCAGCGACGCCGCGUGAGGGAUGAAGGCCUUCGGGUUGUAAACCUCUUUCAGUAGGGAAGAAGCGAAAGUGACGGUACCUGCAGAAGAAGCGCCGGCUAACUACGUGCCAGCAGCCGCGGUAAUACGUAGGGCGCAAGCGUUGUCCGGAAUUAUUGGGCGUAAAGAGCUCGUAGGCGGUUUGUCGCGUCUGGUGUGAAAACUCAAGGCUCAACCUUGAGCUUGCAUCGGGUACGGGCAGACUAGAGUGUGGUAGGGGUGACUGGAAUUCCUGGUGUAGCGGUGGAAUGCGCAGAUAUCAGGAGGAACACCGAUGGCGAAGGCAGGUCACUGGGCCACUACUGACGCUGAGGAGCGAAAGCAUGGGGAGCGAACAGGAUUAGAUACCCCGG